rnacentral:rRNA from 1 species
GACGAACGCUGGCGGCGUGCUUAACACAUGCAAGUCGAACGGAAAGGCCCUGCUUUUGUGGGGUGCUCGAGUGGCGAACGGGUGAGUAACACGUGAGUAACCUGCCCUUGACUUUGGGAUAACUUCAGGAAACUGGGGCUAAUAUCGGAUAUGAGCUCCUGCUGCAUGUGGUUGGUUGGAAAGUUUCGGCGGUGGGGGAUGGACUCGCGGCUUAUCAGCUUGUUGGGGGGGUAGUGGCUUACCAAGGCUUUGACGGGUAGCCGGCCUGAGAGGGUGACCGGCCACCUUGGGCCUGCGAUACGCCCCAGACUCCUACGGGCCGCAGCAGUGGGGAAUAUUGCAGAAUGGGCGGACGCCUGAUACAGCAACGCCGCGUGCGGGAUGACGGCCUUCGGGUUGUAAACCGCUUUCGCCUGUGACGAAGCGUGAGUGACGGUAAUGGGUAAAGAAGCACCGGCUAACUACGUG